GGAAUCUUGGACAAUGGGGGCAACCCUGAUCCAGCGACGCCGCGUGGGUGAUGAAGGCCUUCGGGUUGUAAAGCCCUUUCGACGGGGACGAUGAUGACGGUACCCGGCGAAGAAGCACCGGCUAACUCUGUGCCAGCAGCCGCGGUAAUACAGAGGGUGCGAGCGUUAAUCGGAAUUACUGGGCGUAAAGCGCACGUAGGCGGCUCUGCAAGUCGGGUGUGAAAUCCCCGGGCUCAACCUGGGAACUGCAUUCGAUACUGCAUUGCUAGAGUAUGGGAGAGGGAAGUGGAAUUUCCGGUGUAGCGGUGAAAUGCGUAGAUAUCGGAAGGAACACCAGUGGCGAAAGCGACUUCCUGGACCAAUACUGACGCUCAGGUGCGAAAGCGUGGGGAGCAAAC
rnacentral:rRNA from 1 species